rnacentral:rRNA from 1 species
AAUAUUUGACAAUGGGGGCAACUCUGAUCCAGCCAUGCCGCGUGCGUGACGAAGCACUUCGGAUUGUAAAGCACCUUAAGUUGGGAGGAAGGGCUUUAGGCCAAUACGCUGAAGCUUCUACGUUACCAACAGUAUACGCACCGGCUAGCUCUGUGCCAGCAGCCGCCGUAAUACAGAGGGGGCAAGCGUUAAUCGGAAUUACCGGGCGUAAAGCGGGCGUAGGUGGGUCAGGAAGAGAGGUGUGAAAUUCCCGGGCUUAACCUGGGAACUGCUUACAAAACUGCUGAGCUAAAGUACGGUAGAAGGUAGUGGAAUUUCCUGUGUAGCGGUGAAAUGCGUAGAUAUAAGAAGGAACACCAAUGGCGAAGGCGGCUACCUGGACUGAUACUGACACUGAAGUGCGAAAGCGUGGGGAAGAAACA